rnacentral:rRNA from 1 species
AACGAACGCUGGCGGCAGGCUUAACACAUGCAAGUCGAGCGCCCCGCAAGGGGAGCGGCAGACGGGUGAGUAACGCGUGGGAAUCUACCCAUCUCUACGGAAUAACGCAUGGAAACGUGUGCUAAUACCGUAUACGUCCUUCGGGAGAAAGAUUUAUCGGAGAUGGAUGAGCCCGCGUUGGAUUAGCUAGUUGGUGGGGUAAAGGUCUACCAAGGCGACGAUCCAUAGCUGGUCUGAGAGGAUGAUCAGCCACACUGGGACUGAGACACGGCCCAGACUCCUACGGGAGGCAGCAGUGGGGAAUAUUGGACAAUGGGCGCAAGCCUGAUCCAGCCAUGCCGCGUGAGUGAUGAAGGCCCGAGGGUUGUAAAGCUCUUUCACCGGUGAAGAUAAUGACGGUAACCGGAGAAGAAGCCCCGGCUAACUUCGUGCCAGCCGCCGCGGUAACAC